rnacentral:rRNA from 1 species
AUUGAACGCUGGCGGCAGGCUUAACACAUGCAAGUCGAGCGAGCGGCGGACGGGUGAGUAAUGUCUGGGAAACUGCCUGAUGGAGGGGGAUAACUACUGGAAACGGUAGCUAAUACCGCAUACCAUCGGAUGUGCCCAGAUGGGAUUAGCUAGUAGGUGGGGUAAAGGCUCACCUAGGCGACGAUCCCUAGCUGGUCUGAGAGGAUGACCAGCGACACGGGAACUGAGGCACGGGCCAGACUCCUACGGGAGGCAGCAGUGGGGAAUAUUGCACAAUGGGCGCAAGCCUGAUGCAGCCAUGCCGCGUGUAUGAAGAAGGCCUGCGGGUUGUAAAGUACUUGCAGCGGAGAGGCGUUACCCGCAGAAGAAGCACCGGGUAACUCCGUGCCAGCAGCCGCGGUAAUAC